UACAGAGGUCUCAAGCGUUGUUCGGAUUCAUUGGGCGUAAAGGGUGCGUAGGCGGCGCGGUAAGUCGGGUGUGAAAUCUCGGAGCUUAACUCCGAAACUGCAUUCGAUACUGCCGUGCUUGAGGACUGGAGAGGAGACUGGAAUUUACGGUGUAGCGGUGAAAUGCGUAGAUAUCGUAAGGAAGACCAGUGGCGAAGGCGGCUUUCUGGACAGAUACCGACGCUGAGACACGAAAGCUAGGGGAGCAGACAGG
rnacentral:rRNA from 1 species